rnacentral:pre_miRNA from 1 species
CUGCAGCUCCGCUGGGGGCCGUUGCACUGUAAGAGAUUGAGUAGAAGGUCUCACAGUGAACCGGUCUCUUUUGGUGCUGCCUG